AGAAGGAAGGGGCCGAGGUGUGCAGCUCCCAGAGCAGCUGUGCCGUGGGGCGGCUCUGUGCCCCCUGCAGUGCUGGGCGCUGCAAUGGGAGCAGAUGGAGCCCACCUGUGGAGCACUGCUGGGCUCUCUGGAGUCACAUCCUUCCAGCAGCCCUAAUGCUGUGAACACCCCCAGCUGCUGCAGCUCUGCCUGGUGGACGGUGCAGCAACGAGGAACCUUAACAACAGGAAGAAAAGGAGGAUCAAAGCCUGGGGAGGAUCCUUCAGCUGUUUGCUUUUCCUUUAUGCAGAAACUUUACCACGGCUGCCCUAAAAACCCCACCAAACACAACUAAGAACCCCUCCUCAGAAAAGCAAAAAUGACUUCCCACAGCCUACAGUAAGGUGUUGGUUAUCUGCUGGCAUUUCUCCCCCUCUGCUGCAGCUGCCUUGGCAGAAGAAGAGCCUGGAGUGACGGGGCUGUUGUGUGGCACAGGUCUUUAUCAGAACAGCAUGAGAUAUCCAAGGGGAGUAAAGCAAAGAAGCAUUCCCUUCCCCGAGGCUGAGCUCUGCCUGGCGGUGCCUCUGUCCCAGGAGCGAUGCUGUAGGCAGGGCUGUGAGUCCUGCAGGAUCAGAGAGCAGUCCUGCCAUGCACUGCUUUAAACCUUUCCCUGCUCUGCAGAACUGUCCUCGUCGUGUUUCUGACACGGUGUUGGCUGGAACAGUGCACAGUGAGCAGCACUGCAUCACAGAUACGAGUUUCCCCAGCUGCUUCCUACCUGGCCCUGAGAUCCAACUCCUGGCCAUUCCUCCCCCACCGCCCAUAGGCUUGAACCUGCUCCAGGCCUGUUUCGAUCUGAAAGCAUUAACCUUUCUCCAAGGGACCCGACCCAAGUUUUACAGUCACCUCCACUGGUUCAUGCAUUUUACUUGUGGUUCAGCUCCACACCAGCUCUGGGCUUUCCCUGGGCAGUAGCCUGCUUGUCACCCCAUAAGCCAGACAGGCUGCAGUGCUUUGCUGAGCAUUAAUCGAGGCUGCUAGUGUUGUGCAGUUUACUGGAAGUUACUUUUUCCUUCAACACUUCUCAGAGGAUGAAAGGCACCCAAUGUCUCCUAGUGGCUGAUGGAGGGAGCAGAGGAGCCCACCCUGCAGCCAUGGGCUCUGCACAGGGUCCCAGCACCACAGCUGACGUGGGAGAGGUGCAGACUGUGGUGCAUCCCUUCUUCACUUGCAGGUCUGCGCAGCCAAGAGCAUCUAUGGAUAGCUUUAACAGAACAGCUCUGCUGGAAACAUUGCCUUCACUUUCACAUCUUUCCUUUAAGGGUUUUUUUUUUUUUUUCCCUAUUUUUAGGAGGCUCUCAAUGCUCACCAGCUGCCUUUGACUCCACAAGAAAAGCUGAAUGAACGCAAUUUUCCACUCCCAUUGUCUCUCCUGGCUAAAUACUGCUGCUGUUCUCAGACUUUUAUGACUGUGCAGCCGGUAUUCCACGCACAGUACAGCUCCUGGCCCUGCUAUUAUACCUUUGGCAAGAAAACAUCAGGUUUUUAUGGAAAUAAAAAAAAAAAAAAGUGAGAGUGCAAGACAGAACCUGAACCUAACACUAGGGGCCUUAUUUUUUGGGGUAGAAGCCCAACAGAAUGGCUGGGCUCCAAAACUUCUUGGCUAUUGCACUGCACACGCAGUGCUUUCCUGUCCACCUCUUUUGUCCUCCCUGCUCCUUUCCCUUUUGACCCUUUCUGACCUCUUGGAAUGCAUCUGGUCUCUGUAGGUCACUAUUCUGUACGGUGCAUGAGAGGUCCCAAGGAGCCCUGCAGUUACAACAGGUACAAUAUUCUAGAAGAACUUUAGCUCUGGCUUUCCUUUGUGCAUGGCCCUGUGGGUCCCUGAAGCCCUGGGGCUGAUGGGUAUGGCUUUAGGGAACUGCUGGGGGGAUCCCAGAACUGCUGGAACCUGCAUAGGGAAAACUGCUUGGAUAAAAUGGGGAUUUCAUUCAUUGCAAGUAUUAGAGAUUGACUCUGUGGGGUGGAUUUCCUCACCCCAGAGUAAGAGACAGUGAUGGAUGCAGGCAAGACCAGAGCUUGGCAGAGGCUUUCCUUGUGCACAGGUGUCCCUGGGGUGGUAGUUGGACUCAACGGACUUAGAGGUCUUUUCCAACCCUCAUAAUUCUGUAAUGCUAUCCCUACUUUACCUACAGAGAAGAGGAGUCCUCUGGUAUUUCAUGCAUGUCCUGGGGACAAAGGUGUGCUCAUAGCCAAGUGUUCUGCUUGAGCCGCGUGAGAUUUCUGUGCUUCUCCAGGCUGGGACUCAGUACAGCAUCUCAGCAAAGCACUGGCACCCGUGGGGAGACAGGAAAACAAAGUGAUGAUCUGUUUUCUAAUUGUCUGCCAGCCUCUCCUACCUCCUCGCCCACACCCUCCUGCAAUCUGGUGAUUAACUUAAUUACAGCUGCAGCUCCUGGAGCUGGCCCAGCCUGGGAGGAGAGCAGUGCCAGGAGGGUCUUGCUUCCUGCAGCCUGCCUGGGCUCAGACCAGGAACGUGGACCUGGCUGUAGAUGCAGAUCCCAUUGUCUCAUGUGUGGGAUUUAAUUGUUAAUCCCAAUGCACGCCAGAUGUGUGGGACCUGUUGUGUGGAAAGAAUACUUUUGGUAGAGAAGAACAAGGGCUCAGUUUCUCCAGCAAAGGAUGAGGGGAGAGAAGUUUUGUACACAGCAUCAAAGGAGGCAAGUAUAAUGGAUGACACAGCGCUCUACUGUGGGUACGAGCAGUGCUGAGGGAUGAAAGGAAUCCUCUCCUAGCAGGUCCCUGUGGCUGAGCUACAGUGCUCACUUAACAACACCGGUGCUCAAUGUUCUAAAGCACCUUUCACCUGCAGUGGUUUUUAGGAAGCCCCUGGAGCUGACAGCUGGGCUCUGUGCCCCUCUCCCUGCCGAGGGUCUGGGUGUGCUCUGCUUCCUGCAGAAAGCAGCAGAGGAGGCCUGCAGGGCUGCUGCAGAGCAGGACGGGUGGCGCAAGAGGGAGCGCAGUUGCAGCCCUGGUUGCUGGAGGUGAGGCUGGGUGAUGCUGCCCAGCUCCCAAAUGUCACCGCUCCCCCUGCCGCCCACUGCCGCUGUCCCUGCGAAAUGUCAGACCGCAGAGCUGGGAGUGCUGAGGCUGUCUGGGCUCAGGUGUGGCUGCCCCAUGGCUGCUGGCUCCGGCCCCGCACACCCACAGACAGACAGGCGGACAGACGGCGGUGCCAGCCCUGGGCAGGCUGCUCACAGCUUCCUUCUGCUGCUCUGUUUGCGCCGCUUUCCUCCAGCCCUUCUGCAUCUUGCUCUCACAUCCCAGCUCUGCCCAGAAAAGCCAUUUGCCUGCUUCCAAAUGACAGAUUCUUGCCCCCCAGUCUUGCACUAUGCUAUGCUCUCGUGCCAAGGGGUGAUGUGGUUCUCCUGUCGUAUCCUGUGGGCCCCACUCCCAAGCAACGCCUCCCCGAUUCCAGGUAAGGGCCUUGUUGGUGCUCCCUCCAUCACCCUGCUGUUGGCUGCCAGCCAUGCCAAGCUCCCAUCACCCACACGAGUCCGGAACAUUGGCGUGCUGCUGCUAAUGAGGCAUGCUACUUAAGUGGGGAGUGAACAGCAGGAAUUUGCCUACGUUGUCAGAAGGGAUGCUUCCUUCAGCCGCCCCUGUGAAGAGCGGCCCAGCUCAACCAAGGGUUGGCUCUGGCUUCAAAAUAAGGAUUUGAGUUUGGGUUCAGACUUGUGCUGCGUCCUUCACCAGAGAGGCAAAAGAUGCCUGAAACAGAAGGUUUCAUCUCCAGGCCAAGUGAAACUCCACAUCCAUACCCGUGGUUAACCAUCAGUAGACACAUCAUCACUCAGAAUUCAAGCCUCAGUCUGUGCUGUUCCAAGGAAAAUCACUUGGUGUCUGGGUUCACCAUAAGCUCAGCAGUGAUUUACUGCCAUAGAAAUGCAAGGGGAGUUAAUUAUCUUCAUUUCAAGCUCAUUGUAUGAUGGCAAUAUAGCUUGUCAAGUUCUGAGGAAAAACUGCCUGAAAGAAUUCUGCUCUGAGUUCUGCUGCUUAACGUCUUUAAGUGUAGCAUCUAGUAGCUAUGGGUGCCCAAGUAAACAGCCUGGGCUGUGUUUUGCUAUGAAAGCUGUUGCUCAGUAACUUAAUAGUGCAACAAUUGCUUGAGAUAAUAAUUGCUAUUACUGGGAAAAAUCCUCCAAUAAAUAAUAAUUUUCUUAUCUGCAUGACUUGAGAGCUGGAGAAAUGCUGUACUGUUUGAAACCACAGUGCAUGAGAACAUGCAAGGAGUGUUCCAAGGGAAAGAGCCUUCUGCUCUGUUGGAGCAAGGCAAGAUCAGAGCUGAAGCUUUAUAAAACGUGGUUGAAAAGAUCUACAGAAAAACCCAAACAGAUUAAUUAAUGGGGGAUAAUGAACCACUGCAUUCAGCUGGUGAGCACGCACUUCCGUCUGUUUCCUGCUGUUGUAGAGCGAGAUAUGGGCAUGGUGGGGAUGGGUCAGCGGUUGGAUUCAGAUGAUCUCAGAGGUCU